CAUGUACACUGUCCAAUAUCGAGCACUAUCUUGGGCCAAGACUAUGUUCUUCCCAAAUCGGAUUUUGUAUCAGGUUAAGUAUUAGGUAAAAUAUGUUUGAGGUUGAUCAAGAAAUACUCGAUCCCUUCGCAGCUACAGUUUUGAGUGUAAUACAAAUUUUGACGUCACAGCCCUGUUUUUGCUGAGAAUGUUUCGCAGGAGUUGAGCUCAGUCUAACUCUUUCGAAUUAUUCCUUGCAAAUGUGUGACGUCAAAACUUGUACCGCAAUCGCAUUUACAGGAAGUAUGAACCGAGCUUAACCAUGUUUGUGUUUUCCACUUUCUAUUAACAGCUAUUCCAAAGUAGAUGUUGUGGCAAGGAAUCGUGCACUGAUGGCAUCUCUUGGCCACUGUACACGACAUUAUUGGUAAAGUAUUGGGCACUUUCUGAGGUAACAGAUAGAACCAAUGUUGAAGGCAAAGUUCUAGACUUCAUUUCUAUCAAUCUUAAAUUCAAUCUUGCAUUCAAGCCUUGAUUUAUUUUUUUCUGAAAGACCCGACUCCAUCUGUUCAUCUACUCUGGUACAAAAAAAAACAUGUCAAAUCAAUAUGGUGAACCUUACUUUUGCUAAUUGAUGUGAUCUCAAAAUGCUAACUUUUCUAGAUGUAAGUUUUUCUUCCAGGAAGCAGAUUAUCGGUUCUUUCUGAAGAUGAUAAAGAAGUCUGUGCUGACAUUGUAAGAGUGUUGAUGGAUGAUGACUACAAAAGGUUUGUUGAGAAGUCUUUGGUAGAGUGGUGACUACAACAGAGCUGUUUGGAUGGAGACCACCGAUGCAUCGGUGGAAUUACAGUGAGUGCAUACCAUCUGGGGUUCAGCGGGCAGCUUGACUGAAGGCUACUUUCUGUUGUGUUGUUGCAAGGACACAGAUGUAAAUACUUAAAGACAAACCACUUGAUUGAGACGAUGACCUUAAAGAUAACAUACACCCAACCUUGAGGCUCAUCACUGCUUUUUAGACUGUGCCAAUAGCUGAGGAAUGACUGCAUAAGUCUAGCCAGAUGAUUCUUCACUAUCAAUUCAACCGCCGUUCAAGUGGCAUACACUAUGCAUUUCAGACUUUGUACCAUCAGCUGAAAGACUGUGUGAAGUCUACCCAGAUGAUUUUUCCGCUGCAUGUUGAACCAUUGAAGUGACCUAGGGAUCAGCGUAAAGGCAUACCAAAUUUGUUAGACUUUGUGCCACCAGCUGAACGAGAUUGCGUCAAGUCUUGCCAGGUGACACUCAUUGACAAGUUCAACCAUUCAACUCAUGUAGGGCAUGUAGGGAUGUUGAGGAGACCAAAGAAUUAAACUUUUUGUAAGAUGUGCCACCAUCUAAAGGUCUUAAGACUCUGCUACAAGUUCAAUCAUUGGUUGUUUGGUCUACAUGGACAACACGUUUUAGACUGCCACCAACUGACAAUAGUUUAAAGUCUAGCCAUAUGAUUCCCCACAUGUUCAACUGGAACAAGCAGGAUCAUUACAGCACCUUACUGGAUCAAGACACUUGAAGAGAGGAGCUUAGGCUACAUGUAUGUCUGAGUUUGUGACUGCAGCUUCAUGUAUGGUUGUGGCUGUUGCUAUGGCGUCGUGCUUAAAUGCACAUAGUCACUUGAUAUCGGGGCUCAAUUUCAUAAAGCCUGUAAGCACAAAACUGUGCUAAGCAGUAAGCACAGAAAAAUCUUGCUUAGCAGAGACUGGGUAGCAGCCAAAAUUCCACAAAGUUUAAAUUUUUGCAACUGGUGCCGCACUUGUUUUUUGCUAAGAAGAACUUUCUGCUUCACAGCUUUAUGAAGUUGGACUAAAGGUCACAGUCGCAUUCGAAGCCACCAUGGAGCAAUCAACUACAUGUAGAGGUUUAUUGCUCCAUGGCAGCCACUUGCCCCAAUGUAACAUUUAGUAAAUAAGUUUUUCUUGAAUCCAUCAAACUCAAAUGCCAUCGUACAAUGUAGCCCGGUACUUGCAUCAUUUGGUUAAAUAAAAUUGGCACGCCUGGCUCAUAAAUUACAUUCUAGUACAAUACCCUUGGACUUUGAUGGAUUCACAGUAGUUAGAAAGACAACUUUAAAGAGCAGCUUUUGUCUUUAGAAACAAUCAAAAUCCGAGGUUACCCAAAAUGUAAAAGUGCACUUUAUGCAGUGUUAUUGGCUCAAUGAAACUUUUUGAUAAAACAAAAAUCACAUUCUUUGCAAGCUUUACCACUCGUACAAAAUUGUUUACUAAGGAGCCCAGCUUUUAGAAUUAAUUGCUUGGUUGAGAUUAAAAUCAAAUUCACAAAGUCUUUUUUUUAGAAACCAAGGCAAGAAAUGCUAUGAAUAUUAAAUAAUGUUUAGUAGGCCAAAUGAAAAAAAACAGUUUUUAUAAUAAUUUCUUUGAUAAGGGUAAACAACUGAACAGACAAAAUAUUGCCCAUGCUGGGCCCAAUUUCAUAAAGUCUAUAAGCACACAAAUUUGCUUAGCAUGAAAUUUCUUCCUUAAUA